rnacentral:lncRNA from 1 species
UCGUAAUAUAUGAAGUCUUUCUUGAGAACACUCCGGGCACUUGGCUGUGGAAGGUAGAAUGGAAAUUGCAACAACAAAAUCCUAACUCUAAUGGUAUACUAACUAAACUCUAAUUAGACCAUAACAAUGCUAAACAAGAUUUAAUCAAAUUUAAAGAAACCUCCAAGGAAUUACAAAGAAAUAAUAAGAAAUCUUAAAGAAAUAUUAAAAUGAUCACAAAUAUAUCUCAAAUACAUCUUAAUUCAAUCUUAAUUUAAUCCUAGUUAAAAUCCUAUUGAACUUCAUUCAAACUUUAGGCCAAAAACUAACUAAAUCUUAAAUCCUAAACAAACUCAAAUAAAAUCUUAAAUCCUAAAUCCUAAAUCAAAUCCUAACUAAUCCUAAACUAAAUCCUAAACCCUAAAUUCUAAACCAAAUCCUAAUCUUAAAUCAAAUCCUAACCAAUCCUAAACCAAAUUCCAAACCUUAAACCAAAUCCUAACCAAAUCCUAACCCUAAAUCAAACCCCAACAAAAUUCUAAAUCCUAAACCAAAUCCUAACCAAAUCCUAAUCCUAAAUCAAAUCCUAAUUAAAUUUUAAAUCCUAAACCAAAUCCUAAUCCUAAAUCAAGCCCUAAUCAAAUCCUAAAUCCUAAAUCAAAGCCUAAUUCUAAAUCAAACCCUAACCAAAUCCUAAUCCUAAAUCAAAUCCUAUCCAAAUCCUAA